rnacentral:lncRNA from 1 species
CGGUGGCCAAUUCCAGUGCAAAUACUGAGAGGCCAGGUUCAAUCACCCCGUUACAAUCAGCUUGGGCAUACUCACCAGUAACGAAAUGCUCCAUUCGAUUCCAAUAACGAGAUUCAGCAGAAAGAGAAAGAAUCAAUUCAACGAUGGGUGAGCCUAGUUUAAAGAGUCAAUUGGAUCCAAUUUCAAAAGACCUCGAAUCCAGGUCCUAUUACACGCCUCUUACCCAAUAU